rnacentral:rRNA from 1 species
GACGAACGCUGGCGGCGUGCUUAACACAUGCAAGUCGUACGGUAAGGCCCUUUCGGGGGUACACGAGUGGCGAACGGGUGAGUAACACGUGAGUAACCUGCCCACAACUUUGGGAUAACGCUAGGGAACUGGUGCUAAUACUGGAUAUGUGCUCCUGCUGCAUGGUGGGGGUUGGAAAGCUCCGGCGGUUGUGGAUGGACUCGCGGCCUAUCAGCUUGUUGGUGGGGUAGUGGCCUACCAAGGCGGCGACGGGUAGCCGGCCUGAGAGGGUGACCGGCCACAUUGGGACUGAGAUACGGCCCAGACUCCUACGGGAGGCAGCAGUGGGGAAUAUUGCACAAUGGGCGCAAGCCUGAUGCAGCAACGCCGCGUGCGGGAUGACGGCCUUCGGGUUGUAAACCGCUUUCAGCAGGGACGAAGCUUUUUGUGACGGUACCUGCAGAAGAAGCACCGGCUAACUACGUG